rnacentral:rRNA from 1 species
AGGAUUAACGCUGGCGGCGUGCAUGAAACAUGCAAGUCGAGCGCGGUGUGAUGCGGGGUAACCCAAUUCACAUCUAGCGGCGAACGGGUGAGUAACACGUGAGCAACCUACCUUUGAGUUGGGGAUAGCCCUGGGAAACCAGGAUUAAUACCCGAUGUGGUCACAACAGGACAUCCUGAUGUGAGUAAAGGCGCAAGCCGCUCAAUGACGGGCUCGCGGCCUAUUAGCUUGUUGGUGGGGUAACGGCCUACCAAGGCGAUGAUGGGUAGCUGGUCUGAGAGGACGAUCAGCCACACUGGGACUGAGACACGGCCCAGACUCCUACGGGAGGCAGCAGUUAGGAAUUUUCCGCAAUGGGCGAAAGCCUGACGGAGCAACGCCGCGUGAGUGAUGAAGACCUUAGGGUUGUAAAGCUCUGUCGGAGGGGAAGAACACAAUGACGGUACCUCCAAGAACGCCCGGCUAACUACGUGCCAGCAGCCGCGGUAA